rnacentral:rRNA from 1 species
UACGUAGGGGGCAAGCGUUGUCCGGAAUCAUUGGGCGUAAAGAGCGCGUAGGCGGCCCGGUAAGUCCGCUGUAAAAGUCAAAGGCUCAACCUUUGAAUGUCAGUGGAUACUGCCGGGCUAGAGUCCGGAAGAGGCGAGUGGAAUUCCUGGUGUAGCGGUGGAAUGCGCAGAUAUCAGGAGGAACACCAACGGCGAAGGCAGCUCGCUAGGACGGUACUGACGCUGAGGCGCGAAAGCGUGGGGAGCAAACAGG